UUUUUUUUUAAUUUCUUACAGCCUUCCGUUUUGUAACAGGAAGUAGUCCAAGCAUACCAUGUGACGUUGUAGAUGACUGUAUUGGACUUAUGCAGGGAAUUAUAUAUCACAGUAAUGACAUGCAGGUAGAAACUAAAACUGUCAUCUUCUACGUGUCUCUGGCUAUGUAUUGGAUAAGUAUGAUACAGAAGGACACAGAACUUGGAAAAGCUUUAGUUGUCAUCCUGAAUCACUUGAAGGUAGACAUAAAGCUUAGUGGAAAAGGAGUAGUCCAACAAUGGCUGGGAUUAAUUCAUCCUUCAAGUUUAACUCCUUACCUUGUUCCAUCUACCACAGCUUUAUUGACUGUUAGCACAGCUUGCCACUCCAGCCAGAGAGGUCAGUUGGAACAUGCCUUAUCAGCAUUAAAUACUCUUCAGUCCUCCAUUUGGCCCUCCUUUGUGACAUAUUUUAAAGGCUAUUUACACUUCCUAUUACAACAGUAUAAUGAAGGUUUGAACAGUGUUUUGAGGUUCUGGGAGUCUCAGAAUAAACAUCUUGAUAACAAUGUGAAGGCCAGAUUCUGCAAUUUGAUUGGUUGUUUCUUAGAGGAACAGAAAAAGCCAUCUCUAGCUUGGUUCCAGCAGUCACUGAAUGAAGAUUACUCCUUUUUUGUAAGUAUAUGGAAUGUUGCUACAUAUUUCAGAAAACUUGGAAAUCAGAAAGCAGAGAUAAAAGCACUGGAGCUCUUAGUGAAGUCAACAGUAAAUCAAAACCUGUAUGAGAACAGUUACCACAAACUUGAAGGACCAAAUGGGACAGGGCUUUGGCUGCUUUCUUCAGCACCAGAAGUUAGUCAUCUACAGGCUGUUUAUGCUCUUGCUAGACGCUUAUUGGAGAUUGGAAUGUAUCCUCAGAUUUCAACAUGGUACAGCAGGAUCUUACAUUACCUUCACAUUGAUAGGAUAAGCCAGAUUACUCCACCACAAGAAAAAUAUCCUGCUUCUGUUGGAGUUGUUCAUAUUGAAGCUUGCUAUGCACUGAUGCAUUCAGGGUAUUUUCAGAAAUGCAUGGAUGCAUGUGAUUAUAUCCUGACUAUCUUAACGGGUGAGCAAGUAAUGAAAAUGUCUUUUGAAUAUGUGUCAAGGGAACAUAAAAAUACAAAGUUCACUUCCAAUUCAGAGAACUCUGUAGAAACAGCACCUUCAACUAGCUGCGAAGCACAAGUAUCUUGUCCUAGGUCAUUGUCACAGCAAAUUGAAGCUAUAUCUAGAAGUAAUAAAAUUGAAGAAAAAAGCUUCAUUAGUUGUGGAAUUAAAAGAAAUCGACCUCUCAGUGGUGAAGAUGUUUUGGAAGAAGAACUUAAAAUCUCUAGCUGUGCCUCUUGUGAAGUGGUUCGGACAAAUCUUCCAUUUGGAAGUGUUCUGUUUGCAGUUAAAGCUGCAGCUUAUCAUCAUUUGGAAGAGACAGAAGCAGCAUUGGAAGCUCUAAGAAAAGCUCAACAAUUUAUGGAAUCAAGGUCUAUUUCAUUGAUCUCAAAUUUUAAUAAAAAAGAUGAGCAACAAAAAAGACACUUGAGUGCUCCUUGGAAAGUGAUUGGAAAGUCAGGGAAAAUGGAAUUGAGGACAGAAAAUUGGGAUGGGUUAAAUGAACCAUCUGCUAAACGGCCACGACUCUUUCUGAGCACAGGAUUACACAAGUUCCAUCAACAUGCUUGGUCCAUGUCGUCAGAGCUGUGAACUAUAGCAUCUGCUGCAUCGUGUAGGCCUGUAAGAAUGGAUGCUUGUCUCUUGAGAACAUACAAAAACGAAAAUUGAGGAACGAGAAAACAGUGCAACUGUCGAGUUUUCAAAAGAAUCCAAACUUGAUAUCUUCAAGUCUCAGCUUUACAAUAAUCAAGCAGUCUUAAGAAUAAAGAAUAAACAGUUGAAA
rnacentral:misc_RNA from 1 species